UCCUGCUCUGGACUUUUAUGUUAGGAUUUAAAUUUCAGUAUGAGAUAUCCACAAAAGGUUAUUACUCUCACCUGAGACAAUUUUUCAGUGUCAUUUGAAGGAAAUAUGAGGAUGUGGCUUUAUUACCAUGGAAUCCUCUGACACCAGUCUCUUGUCAUCUGUUAAUUAGAAAGAUUAUAAUGGAAGAGAGAGUCAGAGUGAGAGAGCAGGAGAGAUAGACAAAUAGCAGCCUCCCUCUUCUCUGUGUUGCAGAGGCUGGUGCUCUCACUAAUAAACAGCUAAGCACUUCCCAGGUCCAACUGGUCCUGUCCUUGAGAAAGAAGAAAAGAAAUAUCCUUGAGAAAGUAAUCAGGGGUCACAGGUAGGAAUGACUAGCUGUAAAACAUACUAAUUCCUACUUGUUGGGAGCUAUUAAGACAACUCUAUUGUCUUGAUCUCAGAAUUGGGCCUGCCCCACCCCCAAGUAGAAAAGGGGGUCAAAAGUGGGCCACUGACGCACCAUUCUGAGAACAACCACAGAACGUUCCAGCCCUAAGUCAGUGCCAGAUGUCCUGACCACAAGAUGUACCCUGAUACCACCAAGUUCCUGCUUCCCCCUGUAGUUGCCAAAAGAAAAAUUUCUGCUGCCCCAUCCCUCCUGCUGAGAAGUAUUUCCUCUUUGUCUUGUGCAUUUAAGCCUUGAGUCUUGCUGAAUACAGAGACACCUUGAUGCUACUCAGACUGCUUCUGUGUCGUUCUUGCACUUGGUGUCCGUCUCUCUCUCCCCCCAUUUGGUUCUUAGGAGAAGGCCACCUCGAGACCCUUGAAUAACUGGACCUGCUGGACGGGUCAUCUACUAGCAUCAUAAAGUUACUCCUCAGGCUCAGCAGUUCUGAGAGCUCUCCUGGAAGUUCUACAGAAUCAUGGACACAAAAUUUGGGGACUCAUCUGGGAUUCCCAAGCGGAUCUCUGGAAUCUGCAGUCUUGGGAGUCUAAAACUUGGUUAUUAAACAAUUUUGUGAAACAACCAGUGGAAAAAAAUUAACAGUCUACAUCUUUCAAUACACAAAUGAAUAUGUGGUUGUACAGAUGGGUUUGUGACAGGACUAUUUCCAGUCCAGUGCUCCAUGAAGGCUUCUGUUCACAUUCAUGUCAACUUAACUUCAGCCAUAGCACAGUGGCCAGAACUUCGGCUGAUGUUCCUGCUUCACACUGAGUUGGGAUUCAGGCCCCAGAUCUAUGGAUGAAGUACACUCACCAUGUUUUCUACCAAUGAGUUGCACCGCAGCUAGUACUGCUACCUUUUCCUUCUCCUGACUCUGCUACCAAGCAGCCCACACAUCCACUCCAUGCCCAAGACUUGCAGGGAUGCUGAUCUUCUGGAAGAAUGCUGUUCUUCUUAGUUUUUCUUCGAAGGGAAAUAUGUUCUUCUAAGUUUAAGUCUCUGAAAAUGUUCUUGAAUAAUCUGCCGAAGAGCAUUGCUGAAGAUUCACAUAAAAGGGUAUGCAGUUUUUGUGAAUAAUCUGGUCCUAAUAUUAUGACACAUCUGUAUUUGUAUGUGAUAUGCUCUGGAAAUAAAGCAAACUUAAAUAAAGUCUUAAUUAUAAAAUCCUACUAC
rnacentral:lncRNA from 1 species